CGCUCGUAGCAAUACGAGAGUGGCAGACGGGUGAGUAACGCGUGGGAACGUGCCCUUCGGUUCGGAAUAACCCGGGGAAACUCGGGCUAAUACCGAAUACGUCCGUAAGGAGAAAGAUUUAUCGCCGAAGGAUCGGCCCGCGUCGGAUUAGCUAGUUGGUGAGGUAACGGCUCACCAAGGCGAUGAUCCGUAGCUGGUCUGAGAGGACGAUCAGCCACACUGGGACUGAGACACGGCCCAGACUCCUACGGGAGGCAGCAGUGGGGAAUUUUGGACAAUGGGCGCAAGCCUGAUCCAGCCAUGCCGCGUGCAGGAUGAAGGCCUUCGGG
rnacentral:rRNA from 1 species